ensembl:lncRNA
AUGACUGUAGAAAACACGGACGACGCGGCCACGGUCACGGACAAACUUGCAUGUGUCUGUUCGGGAAUGGCAGAUGCUGAGAGGUCUAACGUUUACAUUACCGACAGCCUGAGGUGUUCUUCAGUAAAUUGGACUACCGGACAGGAGGACCUGAGGCCCCACCGCAAUAUUUUCGUACCACUGCUGAUAGCGCCUCCGUAUGUUUUGACCAGGAUGCAGCAGCAGACUGAACCAGGACUGAAACCUGCUCCAUCAUCUCAUCUUUGCAGAUGUCCAUUUAUAAAGCAUCAACAACUCUAAGGAGCCGUCCUCAGAUUCAGACCUCAGCACCACCCAGUGACAGCAGACAAAUCAUCCUAUAUCUUCACUCUUUGUAGUAACUCCAAAAUUAACUGAUGAAAACAGUACAAAGGUUAAAGUACACUGUUAAAAAAGAAAUCCUAGAAAAACAGUAAUAUUCCGGCAGCUGGGGCGCCAAAAUAAUACCAU